rnacentral:rRNA from 1 species
AAACCAGCACCUCAAGUGGUCAGGAUGAUUAUUGGGCCUAAAGCAUCCGUAGCCGGCUUUGUAAGUUUUCGGUUAAAUCCAUACGCUCAACGUAUGGGCUGCCGGGAAUACUGCAAGGCUAGGGAGUGGGAGAGGUAGACGGUACUCGGUAGGAAGGGGUAAAAUCCUUUGAUCUAUUGAUGACCACCUGUGGCGAAGGCGGUCUACCAGAACACGUCCGACGGUGAGGGAUGAAAGCUGGGGGAGCAAACCGGAUUAGAAACCCCGGUAGUCC